rnacentral:rRNA from 1 species
UGCAAGUCGAGCGAACGGACGAGAAGCUUGCUUCUCUGAUGUUAGCGGCGGACGGGUGAGUAACACGUGGAUAACCUACCUAUAAGACUGGGAUAACUUCGGGAAACCGGAGCUAAUACCGGAUAAUAUUUUGAACCGCAUGGUUCAAAAGUGAAAGACGGUCUUGCUGUCACUUAUAGAUGGAUCCGCGCUGCAUUAGCUAGUUGGUAAGGUAACGGCUUACCAAGGCAACGAUGCAUAGCCGACCUGAGAGGGUGAUCGGCCACACUGGAACUGAGACACGGUCCAGACUCCUACGGGAGGCAGCAGUAGGGAAUCUUCCGCAAUGGGCGAAAGCCUGACGGAGCAACGCCGCGUGAGUGAUGAAGGUCUUCGGAUCGUAAAACUCUGUUAUUAGGGAAGAACAUAUGUGUAAGUAACUGUGCACAUCUUGACGGUACCUAAUCAGAAAGCCACGGCUAACUACGUGCCAGCAGCCGCGGUAAUACGUAGGUGGCAAGCGUUAUCCGGAAUUAUUGGGCGUAAAGCGCGCGUAGGCGGUUUUUUAAGUCUGAUGUGAAAGCCCACGGCUCAACCGUGGAGGGUCAUUGGAAACUGGAAAACUUGAGUGCAGAAGAGGAAAGUGGAAUUCCAUGUGUAGCGGUGAAAUGCGCAGAGAUAUGGAGGAACACCAGUGGCGAAGGCGACUUUCUGGUCUGUAACUGACGCUGAUGUGCGAAAGCGUGGGGAUCAAACAGGAUUAGAUACCCUG